UCUUCUUUCAAUAUAUCUCUGCCCCGCCAG
rnacentral:piRNA from 1 species